CUGAAGUCUGGGGAAUUCAAAUGCUGUUGGAAUAACCGUGGCUGACAUUUAUUGAAGGCUUCCUAUGUGCCAAGCUGUGGGCUAGGCCCUUGACACAACGAAUGUUCCAGAUAAUCUGGGAGACAGGUAUUAUUACCUGGAUUUUACAGGUGUGGAAAUCUAGUCUUAGAGAAGUAGUUGCCAGCCCAAGGCAGUGUGAGAAUGACACCCGGGUUUGACUGACCCUGGAGCCGUGACUCAUGUCUUAUUUUGUGGCAGAAUGUUGGAGCUCUGAGCUUUCUGAGGCAGGCAGGAGCUUUCUGUUUGGGAGGAGAGACCAAGGAAGGGGCAGCCAUCCCAGCAGCCCAGCCCUCCUCUGUCAGUGCUCCCCCUACCCUUCAUGGGGGAUGCUAGGGGCCUGUCAGUUCCCUGAAGCAGACAGCUUCUUCCACGGGACCCACACAAAUGCACUUCGUCCCUCUUGGUCUCAGGCCCUCCCUCUGGAAAGUUCUCUCCUGAGUAGCAGGAAAUGGAGAAAGGAGGCAGUUGAAGAAGGAGCGAGGUUGGAAGUGUGCUCAAGUGUGGGGGAAGAAGCUCCCCAUAACUGAGAUGCGUGGGGGUGGCACCCAGAGCCUAGACCACGUGGCUUUCCACCCUCCCUUCCGAGCAGCAGGACUUGGUGAGUUACAUAAUCUCUCUGCACCUGGGUUUCCUCAUCUGUCAACUAGGAGAACAGAAACCCCUGCUGUGGCGAGGGUUUCAUCAGGUGCAGUGAGGCAUAUAAAGCACUUCGAACAGUGCCUGGCCCAUAGUAAAUGCUUCUCAAAAAUCAGCUCCUGUUAUUCUCCAGAAGCAGCUCAUUUUCAUCGAGUAGACCAUGGUGAGCAAAUAUUCACAGAUAGGUACAGCUCAAGUAUAAAUGAUCAGGCAGAGAACACAGAUCAGCUCUCCUUCGGGCCAGAGUCUAACUUCAAGGAGUUAGACUCCUUUCCCAGGCUCGCCCCACACUCAUCUUUCUGGUUUGAACCUGGCUACUCCUUUGGCUGCCGGGGCUUGAAAUUCUCAAAAGGAUCUGAAGGGGUUGGGAAUCCCCAAUUCUCUUUGUUCCAGAACAUUCUAAUAUGGUUCUGAAGGUCUAUGGGACCCCAUCUUACUCCUCUCCUCUGCAGGCCCAGAUUGAGCUAGGAGAAUUAGCCAGGCAAGAACAAGGACAGGGCCUGACAUUCUGGAAGAAUCUGUUCUCCUGGCCCCACCUAAAGAACCUUUUCUAAUGAUCCUUUCUUGGGUCAGCUGAGCCUGUGUGUCUACAUAUCCAGAACAGGCCGGACAGGGCUUAGCAUCUCUGUGAUCAUCACAAUCAAACACCAGGUCACUGCCAUCAUCAACAGUACUAUCCUGGCAAUGUCACCGUCAUCUAGACCAGGAUCACUAUCACCUCUGCAUCUUGCAACCCCCUCCAUCACUGAUGUGGCCUCUGCCAUUUCCAUCUUCCUCUUCACCAUUGACGUUGCUGGGGUCGCUCCCACACGGUGACCUUUACACUCCCAUGAUCACCUGCUGCUUGCGGUCAGUCAGAACCCUCAGGCAGAAAGAGACAGAAACCCAAGUCAACGAAUUUAAGGAAAAAAAUGUGGUUGGGGGUUUAUGUCUCACCCACCCAAAGAGUAGGACUACAGAAAGAGUAGGACUCUCCUAGCCACUGUGCCCACAGCACUCAAACACCGAACAUAAUUAGGAAGCUUUCUUUCUGUCCAUCUCUGCUUUACUCCCAUUUAUUUAAUUCUUUUUCUUUUUCUUUCUUUUUGCAGAGAGACCCCUGUCCAUGUGAGCUUUGUGGAUCCAUAUACUGGUUGUAUAGUGACCCAAAAGCGAAAGAAUUUUCAUCUAUCAAGUUGAAAAAAUCCCAAGAAAGUUCCCUGAUGAAUUGAGCUUGGUUGCCCUUUGGGCUCAGAUCACAGGAAUUGGGAUGUGUGGUUCUGUGCUUGGCCCAGCUUGGUCACGUACCUAGCAAAGACAUGGAACUGGAGCAAACUUGGUGAACAGGUGAUGACCUUAGUUUGUGUCCACAUUCACGUCUUCCACCAGCACCACCAUCACCAUCACCACCACCACCAUCACCACCACCAUCACCAUCACUAUUAUCACCACCACGACUGGCACAGUUUUGCUAAGAGCUGUCCUGAGCCCAGCCUGGAGCUUCACAUUUGGAACUGCAACAGAUUUGACUUGGAUCAAGUCUCCAGACCUAUGGGAAUUUACUGUUUGGGGGUAACAAAGUUCAUGUGUUCAAGGAGCUAGACUCCUAACCCUGGGCUAUGAGGUGGGAGCAGGAAGGGAAGCUGCGGGGACAGGCCUGCCCCUGCAGCAUGGGCCCCAUCCCUGAGCAGGCCCAACAGCCGCAGCAACCCAUCAAAGAUCCAACGAUGGGCCAGGCCAUUUAGCAAAAGGCUACCUGUGCCCAGGCCCAGAGUGAGAGCCAUUCCUUGCUCUCUGCACAGCUCCCACACCAGCCCGGUGCCCUGUGCCCGGCCAGAGCCCUCACCACAACUGCCCCUCCCGAGGGCUGAGGCUUGUUUUGGCUCCAGGCCUCCUGUUCCCGCUCCGUCUCUGAGCAAACAUCUGUUUCCAGAUGUUGUCCCAGAGCCUUAUAAAGUUGAGGGAAGGCCUGAGUUAAUAGAGCUCCAGCAGACCCGCCUCGGCAGCGAGCUCACGUCAGGAAUGGAUCACUCAAGGAAAGCAAGACCCCUCAUUUCCUGAGGGGGGUGGGGCGUACAGGAAAGAUGAAUAGGGCACCCCCUCUCCGUUCCAGAAAUGACCUUAGCAAAGCAACCGCCUUCAGGAAAAAGAGGGAAAAGGCUUUUGUAAUGAGGUUUGCAGGAACGAAUGUUCCAGGCUGUUCUGCGUUCAGGGCUACUGCUGGGGAGGAACCAGAGGGAGGAAAGCUCAGCGGGACAGCAGAGCCUCCCCUGGAUUUACUGGCCACAAUCUGAGUUUGACCCUGGGAGCUGUGUGGUGCCUGGCAGGGAAGGGACCUGGCUGGAGUCUGGAUUUGACACCAGUGUGCUGGGUGACCUUGGAAGAGGCUCUGACCUCUCUGUGCUCGGUUUCUGCCAGUGUCACACACAGUGGAACCUUGGGUGAUUUAUAAAGGUCUUUCUGGGCCAGGGUGGGGCUCCUCUGCACACCAAACAGGGAGAGCUACUCCUAGGAAAAGAUCCCAAGGUAAAGGGUUCGGAGUGGCGGGGCGAGUCCAGGGCUGGGGGCUCGAGACAAGCAGGGACCCAUGGCAUGACCUCAAUCCCAGGUCCUAGUGAAUAGGGCUCGGCUUCAGCCAAGGAAUCCGGCUCUGUGUUAUCUGUCAUCAAACAAAAGCCUCUGUCUCUUAGAUGGCAGUGCCUGUCUUUCCAGCACAUCUCCCGCCUGUCAUGGGAACUCAGGUCCUGGGCUGCUUCUCCGAGAACAUGCUUGGGAUGCCCUUCCACCCUCUCUGUGCUGAGGCCCAGCUUCCCAGCCCUGAUUCCACAGGCUGACGGCUCUGAGGCCCCGCGUCUCGCUCCCACUCCUCCUGCAUGUGCUUCUUCCAAGAAGCUGCAAGCGGGGCCCUAAUGGAUGCGUUUGCUGAUGAUUUCUGACGUCUGGCUGCAGCGUGGCCUUGCCUUCCUCUCUUAUGGGUUUUGUGCUUUAUUGGGGCCUCGUGCACAUGAUCUCAUUUGAGUGUUGCAGCAUUCCCUGGCGUAGGAAUGAGGAGUCCCCUGCCCUCGACAGGAGGAUGAGUUCUAGGGAGGUCAAAACAUUUCCUGAAAGGCACACAGCUUGCAAUGGAGAAGCCAGGACUUGGAGUUUUGGGGGUGCCUUGUUUCAAAUUCACCCUGGAUCAACAAAAUGAUCCUCCAGUGCUAAUCUCACUAGAUGGGUAAUAGCUUCCUAUUUUGAGAAAUGUAAGAAGCGUGUGGGGUGCAGGGAGUGGUGCUCUGUAGCUGAUGAGAGAUGUCUGUCAACGGUGUGGGAAUGGAGUGUUGGUGUGACCAGACCAUGCCACGGAGAAGGGAGACGUGGAAGGAGCUCAUGGUUGAGGCUGUUGGGUAUCAAGAGGUCAUUUGAUGCACCCCAGUCAUUUGCAGUCAUUUGAUGGCAAAGAUGGACCACAAAAGCUUGGACCUUCUGUUCUGUUCUCCCAGAGCUCUCCUCUAUCUGGAUCCUUCCAUGCUCUGAGGCCCAGCCCAGGACUUUCUCUUCCAGAAACCUUCACCCUAACUCUGAGUCUUCAUGCCAGUCCCUUUCUCCAAGUCCCAAGGCCCUGGUCAUCCUGUUUGGCCCUCAGCUCAUGCUGCUCUUUCCUGAAGCCCCCACAUUCAUCCCUCAGGAUUGUGAACCCUGUGAGAAGCUGAUCUGGGUUUUGUCCCACUAGGAACUCAAUAACAGAUGUGGGCUGACUAAUGGAUCAGUGGCCCAGACCCUAGAAUGAGCAAGCAGCGGCCUUCCUCCCAGCCCCAGGACCGCAGGCUUAACGGCAGGCGAGACCCUUGUUUGAUCUGUUUUGUUUGAUCUUUGUCGUGCAUUCCAAGUCCCUGCAGUUAUCAUGGUGGCUCCCACAGAGGGAACUGGGGGCUCUGCACUCUGUACACAUGGUUGGAUCCAAUUCUCAUACUCCAGGAGAUAGAAAGUGGUUUUCCCAGAGAUCAGAGUUUAAGCUCAGAGUUUAAGUAAUUUGCUCAAGAUUGCACAGAUGUAAACAGAGAGUCCAUUCCUGGAAUGGACUCACAGUGAGUCCUACCUGGAAUCGCCUCCCAGUGAACACAGAAUGAGGCCCAGCUCCUGGCCCUGGAUAAGGCCAAGUGGGAGACUCUUGUGGAAUUAUUCUGAAACCCCCUGAGAUCAGAGGAACACAGGCUCGUGGGGGCUUCCAGCUGCUCCUGGAGGGAGUCAGCAAGACAGAGCUGGGCUGGGAAGGCUCCGACAUGGCUCUCGGGAUGGCAGCUGGGCAUGGCCUUUGCUAACCACAACAUUCCUCUAAUCCACUUCUCAGGACCAAGUGGUCCUAGACAGGCCCAUGAGCCCACCCUGCCAGGCAUUUACUCCUGUAAACACAUCUGUGGCCUCCAACGUAACCAAAUAUCACGGAAUCCACAACCAGGGUAGUUCUAAGCUUGGCCAUGUAACUUGUAGCACGUGUCAUACAUGCAGAGGAACUUGGAGCUCUCCUUCUGAAAGUCAAGUACCCAUGCUGUAAAGCAGCUCUGGAGAGACUGCAGAACAUUCCAGGGCAUGCUAAGAGGGUGAGAAACCAUCCUGAAUGUCCCAGCCCCAGCAGAGCUCCCUGCCAAGUUCCCACCAUGCAGCCAGCCACACCAGUACCUACAGCAGAAGAACCACUCAGCUGAGCCCUGUCAACCCACAGAAUUAAAGGAAAAGAAUCAAUCAAUGUGU
rnacentral:lncRNA from 1 species